AGUAGCAAGCGCAAUUAAUUACUACAAUUGGAGCAAUACAGAGAAGACAAACAUGGUCCUUUACAAGGAUGAAAGGCACAUUUUAUGAACUGUCCCAUAUUUUA